AAAAAGCGUCACAGCUUAAUAACCUUAAACUAUAAUAUCCUAAUACACAAAAAACCCUUUAAUAGUAUCGAAUUCUUCUGUAUUGAUACAGAAUUAUUUAUGUUAAGACUAGUAGCAAGAAGCAACCUUCUCUUUAAUGUAAGUGUAAAAGAACUUCCUCUAAUAUUAACAUAUGAACAAAAUGUAGUAACUCAACGAGAAAACCCUACCCAAGCCUCUGUUAACCUUACACAAGAACAUUCCAAGAAAGAUUACAAGAGAAAGAAGGAACUCAGCAAACUACGAUUCCGCCUGUUUACCAAAAACAUCGCCUCUUGAAAAUAUAAGAGGUCCUGUCUGCCCAGUGACUCUGUUCAACGGCCGCGGUAUUUUGACCGUGCAAAGGUAGCGUAAUCACUUGUUUUCUAAUUAAAGACCUGUAUGAAAGACCACACGAGAAUCACACUGUCUCCUCUCUCCAAUCAGCGAAACUAAUCUCCUCGUGAAAAAGCGAGAAUUACCUUAUAAGACGAAAAGACCCUGUGGAGCUUUAAACAGCCUGACAGCUAAUAUAAUUUUAUUACUUUUUAGCAUGAUUACAAGUUUUUGGUUGGGGUGACCCUGGAGAAUAAACUAACCUCCAAGAUGACAUAUGAAUCUCCUUUAGCAUAAAGCUACAAUUUUACGCAUCAGUAUACUGACAUCAAUUGACCCUUAUUGAUCAACGAACCAA
rnacentral:rRNA from 1 species